rnacentral:snoRNA from 1 species
CAAGAUGAUGAUCAUUUUUUACAAUAUACGCUGGAAAUUACCGGCCGAGUCCGUAAGGGCUUUGACGAUAUCUUUAGGCUUAGACUGAUC